AAAUAUUGAGUUCUUACAAAGUUUUUCUCAAAAAGAUUGUUCAUAUAGUUUGAGGAGCAACAGAAAAGCCCUGCUUUUGUUUCUGGUGGAAAUUAAAGUGAGAAGCAGUUGGGAAUUAAAAUAUAGUUUUGAUGGGUUUUAAAAGGCCCAGUCUUGUCAACCAUCAUCCAUCACACACUCUGCUCAAACCUCUCUCUCAUCCCUCGCAACUCUAUGCCUGUCCUGCCUCUCCCCCUCCAUAACUCUCCUUCUCCUUCUCGGAAAAACCGAGAACCGCCACCAAACCAUCUUCAAUCAUCAACCUUUCAAACUUCCCAAAACCACAUAGGGCCCUCUGCUACUCCUUGGCCGUGCCACGUUCGGAGGAAAACGGAAGUUUAUGUUUUGACUCUCGACGAAUCCAACCGUCCCCGACUCGGUAAGCUUUAGCUUCUCCUUCUCAACUCUCGACGAAUCCAACCGUCCCCGACUCGAAAAUAGACGAGAAAGCAAUCACAGAGGUAUUUCUAAAAGUUUUGGGCAACUAUAUAAAAUGGUGCGGAUACCUGCGGAAAUGCCUCGCAUGGAAUAGGUGCGAAGUAUUAAAAACACCUAUGCAACAUCAUCUGGGGUGGUUACAGCCUACAAUGUUGUUUGUCUAGAGUUGGCCAAUGCAAUUGGAGUUUACCAAGAAGUAAGUUUGACCUGAAUUAUAUAUGUUUUGCCAUCUGUUCUUCAUGCCCUUUGAGAGUUUUGUAAUUUUCACUUUCUAUCUAUCUGUUAUACCGUUGAAGUUACUGUGACUUACAAUUGUGAAUGGUUAUCUCACUAGGCCAGAGGUCCAAUAUCAGCACUUAGUUAUGUCGAGGAAUUCCCUAGACUUUCUGCUAAUUUGAGUUAUCCAAACUUACGGAGUUCCACAGGUAUAAUUCCAACAUAUUCUAGUCUUCGUAAGUUUGGAUAUCUCAAAUCAGUGGGAAUUCAAAGUGGUUAUCAAAUUGGUCUUCAGUUUUCAAAAAGUUGAAAAUGAAAUAGAUGUCAAAAGGCCACGAGUUUUUCGAAUUUGGCUUUCAAUUUUUUGUUUGUUUUGUUUUUAACUUUCAAGGAAAUGAGAACUUAAAACUUAAAACUGAAAGGUUUUUAUCGUUUCAUCACCUUUUUUGUUUGUUGGACGGAUAAUUUUGUCUAUUAAAAACCUAUAUACAAUAAAAUAAUACUAUUCAAUUAAAGAUAAAAAAAAUACUAAUUAAACUAAUAACAAAAUUAAAAAAAUAAAUAAAUAGUUACAGAAUCAUACUGCAGAAGUGGGGUGCUUAAUUUACACACACAAUUUGAUAUGAAUGAUUUUAAUUGAGAUUGGUAUAGGAGUUAUAGGCUGAUUAAUAGUUUCACCCAAAAUCACUCACUAUAAUUGUUAAUUAAAAAUACAUACCACCUUCAAAGCUAGGUACAAGCACCAACCAAAAAAAAAAUAUAUAUAUGAUGGUGUGCAUCACUUGCACCCGAUCCAUCAUUGUAAACAGCAGCAUAAUGGAACUCUUGAGCACCGCGUCUAAUCCCAACUAUUGGACACUUACAACUGUAGUUUUCUUUGCAUUCUUUGUCAUGGUUGAAAUCAAGGACAUAAUAAAAAAUGUGGCCGCUUGGAACUCCAUGUUCUAUGUAGCAUAUAUAUGUUGAAAAAGCAACCCUACAUCUUGGUAUACGAAGGCAGUUCCACUAUUAGCAAGUGCUUCCAUUGAUGCAUUACUUGUUGACUUAGACUUUAAAUUAUCAACUAAAUUCUCUGUUGCUCCAAAGUCACCGCACACCAAACCAACAAUAGGUGGGUUUUCGAGAAUUGUUUGAAUUUUAAGGUUAUCGCUUAUUACUGAAGAAAAAAAAAGUACAAAAUGCACAUCUAAAGACACUGACAAUAAAAAAAAAAUAGUGGAUUAAUCGAAAAUAAUAAAGAGAGAUAGAGAAAAUUAUAGAGAAAAUUACUUCUAGUGUCUUCAAGAUCGACGAUCCUUGCAUCCAAUCCCAAUGUGAAGUCAUACUCCAAGAGCAUGGCUGAAUAGAUUACUGCACAAAGUGACUUUUUAAAUGACGGAUUUUCCCGGGUUGAAAAUGAGCUCAGAAAGUGAGUACCACGUACAAAAACAAAAUUUUUUGUGUUGUUAUAUUGUACAAAAACAAUAUUCUUGCCCUAAAGGAUAUAAAUCGAAGAAGGGUACUAUAGUUUUACCCAUGCUCUUGGAGCAUGGCUUCACAUGUGGAUCGGAUGCAAGGAUCGUCGAUCUUGAAUACACUAGAAGUAAUUUUCUCUAUAAUUUUAUUUAUCUCUAUUUAUUAUUUUUGAUUAAUCCACUAUUCUUUUUUUAUUUUCAGUGUGUUUAGAUGUGCAUUUUGCAUUUUAUUUUUCUUGAGUAAUAAGUGAUAACCUUAAAAUUCAAACAAUUCUCGAAAACCUAUCUAUUGUUGGUUUGGUGUGCGAUGACUUUGGAGCAACGGAGAAUUUAGUUGAUAAUUUAAAGUCUAAGUCAACAAGUAAUGCAUCAAUGGAAGCACUUGCUAACAAUAGAACUGCCUUUGUAAACCAAGAUGUAGGGUUGCAUUUUCAACAUAAAUAUGCUACAUAGAACAUGGAGUUCCAAGCGGCCACAUUUUUUUAUUAUGUCCCUGAUUUCAACCAUGACAAAGAAUGUAAAGAAGACUAUAGUUGUGAGUGUCCAAUAGUUGGGAUUAGAUGCAAUGCUCGGGAGUUACAUUAUGUUGAUGUUUACAAUGAUAGAUCGGGUGCAAGUGAUGCACACCAUCAUUCGUAUUUACCGUUUUCUGAUGGAAUAAGGGUGAAAAAUGUUGAUAUUGCCAACGACUACGAGAAUACGAACAACGACAAGAUGAAUUCGAACCAAGCAAGAAGGAUCACUCGAUUUUCUAUGUUAUUGUGGACCCACGUAUGUCUUGGAAUAAUUAAGCUAGAUAGCUCUGUUGUCGUCACAUAUAUAUCCUUUGUGUUGGGUGUUUUAUGUGUUUUGAUUUGGCUGUCCUCUGCAUGCACUCGCCUUGGAAUAUCACAUCUGUGCAGUGCCUAUUAAUUUGGAUCAACGCUUUGAUUUAAUUGGCUUGACUGGUGUUGUUUGCUUCAAGGGUGUGUGUGUGUUUUUUAAUCGACAGAUGUAGUGAAUGAUUUCAUACACGUUGCUAUCGAGCUGGCGAGCUUCUGCAUUCUCGAGUCGUUGUUGGUCUUUUGAGUUUUGUGGAUAUUUCGUUUACGUAAUGGUUGUUGGUGUUCAUAUGGUCCUCCCCUUUCGUUUGUGUCGAUUGUUAGUUUUGAGUCCGUUUGCAAAACCAAAAAUGGUGGUUAAUUGUGCCAAAUUGAAUAUUAAAGUUUUAGACAAUACCAUUUCUUCAUUUUAGUAUACUGUUUGUACUUAACGGCUCUACAGAUGGCAAAGAGUUGGAUGAAAUAUUAGAUCAUGCUGAAGCUAAUCUUGCUUCCCGCUGCAUAGCAGAUAUUGGAUGUAUGUCGUCCCUUGAACAAAUCAUUUUCCCAAUAUAUGGAAUGUUGGUUGUGGUUAGUGGAUCUCUGUUUCACAUAUCAUUUUGGAUAUCAAUUAUUUCUCACUUUGGCUUGUGUGUUGAUAUUGGAUUUGGAUUUACUCUCAUCUCAAUCAUGGUCCUUUGUUAUCUUAUCUUAGCUUAUAAUAUAGGUAUGUUAAGGCGUAACUCCCCGUAAUGUUCUAAGUCUGCAGUCUGCAUAUAUAUGUCUCUAUCCUAAGUCAUUUUGAGUUCAUUAAGGUUAUUGUGUUCUUUUUCACUAUAUAUUUGUCUCUUGGUCCCUGGAUUUCUCAUUUGGACAGAUCUUUGUGCUCUUUUGGUUGUGACCUAGUUUCUCCAGACAAGGCUACUCUCAAAUUGCCAUCUAGUUGUCCAAUUUGCACUAAGCCUGGCCACUGGCUGAAUCAAUGAGCCUGGAAGAAACAGGUCCCCAUUGGCGUAACUCAGGUUGGCAAGGGCUAUGUAGUAGAUGGGCAGUGUGUUAUUCCACUUAAGUGUGCUUAAUGUCAUUAGAGUGGUACUCACAGGGUUCCUGUCUGCGCGGAUUGGAACAAACUACUCAAAGGAAACUGGACGGGAUGUGCCCUUGCACCCCUGUUGGUUCGAUACAUCACCUGAUGAUUGAUGAAGCUGAGGACGACUGGGUGCAUGUAUGCAGCAGCUGUUAAAUUAUCGUUUCAUUUUAGUGCUCUAUGUUAUAUAUAUAUAUAUGUUAUUGUGGACCCACGUAUGUCUUGGAAUAAUUAAGCUAGAUAGCUCUGUUGUCGUUGCGGAUAUAUAUACUUUGUUGUUGGGUGUUUUCUGUGUUUAAUUUGGCUGUCCUUUGCAUGCACUCGCCUUGGAAUAUCACAUCUGUGCAGUGCCUAUUAAUUUGGAUCAACGCUUUGAUUUGA